GUGUUCACUCUGGCAGCACACAUACUAAAAUUGGAAUACAAAGAAGAUUAUAAUGGUCCAUGUGCAAGGAUCACACAGAUUCAUAAAGUUUUCCAUGUUUUU
ensembl:snRNA U6 U6 spliceosomal RNA